CCUCCCCUAGUUUAAGAAGAACGGUGGUCUUGUAAAUCACAGGUGUAGGU
rnacentral:tRNA from 1 species